GUUGUAGGACACUCUAUACGGAGUUACAAAAGAAAGUUAUAAAUGAAGCGGUCUGGAAAGGCCCGCCAAAGACGGUAACAGCCCGGUAGUUGAAAUGGCUUUCCCUCCAGAGUGGAUCCUGAGUACGGCGGAACACGUGAAAUUCCGUCGGAAUCCGGGAGGACCAUCUCCCAAGGCUAAAUACUCCCUAGUGACCGAUAGUGAACCAGUACCGUGAGGGAAAGGUGAAAAGCACCCCGGAAGGGGAGUGAAACAGUUCCUGAAACCGUGUGCCUACAAGUAGUUAGAGCCCGUUAAUGGGUGAUAGCGUGCCUUUUGUAGAAUGAACCGGCGAGUUACGAUUUGUUGCAAGGUUAAGCGGAAAAAGCGGAGCCGUAGCGAAAGCGAGUCUGAAUAGGGCGCAUAAGUAACAGGUCGUAGACCCGAAACCAGGUGAUCUACCCAUGUCCAGGAUGAAGGUAAGGUAAUACUUACUGGAGGUCCGAACCCACGCACGUUGAAAAGUGCGGGGAUGAGGUGUGGGUAGCGGAGAAAUUCCAAUCGAACUUGGAGAUAGCUGGUUCUCUCCGAAAUAGCUUUAGGGCUAGCCUCGAGGUAAAGAGUCAUGGAGGUAGAGCACUGUUUGGACUAGGGGCCCUUCUCGGGUUACCGAAUUCAGAUAAACUCCGAAUGCCAUGUACUUAUACUCGGGAGUCAGACUGCGAGUGAUAAGAUCCGUAGUCGAAAGGGAAACAGCCCAGACCACCAGUUAAGGUCCCCAAAUAUAUGUUAAGUGGAAAAGGAUGUGGGGUUGCUUAGACAACCAGGAUGUUGGCUUAGAAGCAGCCACCAUUGAAAGAGUGCGUAAUAGCUCACUGGUCGAGUGACCCCGCGCCGAAAAUGUACCGGGGCUAAACAUAUUACCGAAACUGUGGAUGAACCUCUUUAGAGGUUCGUGGUAGGAGAGCGUUCUAAGGGCGGUGAAGUCAGACCGGAAGGACUGGUGGAGCGCUUAGAAGUGAGAAUGCCGGUAUGAGUAGCGAAAGAAGGGUGAGAAUCCCUUCCACCGAAUAUCUAAGGUUUCCUGAGGAAGGCUCGUCCGCUCAGGGUUAGUCGGGACCUAAGCCGAGGCCGAUAGGCGUAGGCGAUGGACAACAGGUAGAGAUUCCUGUACCAGUGCUAAUUGUUUAACCGAUGGGGUGACACAGAAGGAUAGGGAAUCGCACGAAUGGAAAUGUGCGUCCAAGCAGUGAGUGUGAGAAGUAGGCAAAUCCGCUUCUCGCGAAGCAUGAGCUGUGAUGGGGAAGGAAAUUAAGUACGGAAGUUCCUGAUUUCACGCUGUCAAGAAAAGCCUCUAGGAAGAGUAGUACUGCCCGUACCGCAAACCGACACAGGUAGAUGAGGAGAGAAUCCUAAGGUGAGCGAGAGAACUCUCGUUAAGGAACUCGGCAAAAUGACCCCGUAACUUCGGGAGAAGGGGUGCUCUAUUAGGGUGCAAGCCCGAGAGAGCCGCAGUGAAUAGGCCCAGGCGACUGUUUAGCAAAAACACAGGUCUCUGCAAAACCGUAAGGUGACGUAUAGGGGCUGACGCCUGCCCGGUGCUGGAAGGUUAAGAGGAGUGCUUAGCUUCGGCGAAGGUACGAAUUGAAGCCCCAGUAAACGGCGGCCGUAACUAUAACGGUCCUAAGGUAGCGAAAUUCCUUGUCGGGUAAGUUCCGACCCGCACGAAAGGCGCAACGAUCUGGGCACUGUCUCAACGAGAGACUCGGUGAAAUUAUAGUACCUGUGAAGAUGCAGGUUACCCGCGACAGGACGGAAAGACCCCGUGGAGCUUUACUGCAACCUGAUAUGGAAUGUUUGUACCGCUUGUACAGGAUAGGUAGGAGCCGAAGAGACGUGUGCGCUAGCAUACGAGGAGGCAAUGGUGGGAUACUACCCUGGCUGUAUGACCAUUCUAACCCGCCACGCUUAGCGCGUGGGGAGACAGUGUCAGGUGGGCAGUUUGACUGGGGCGGUCGCCUCCUAAAGAGUAACGGAGGCGCCCAAAGGUUCCCUCAGAAUGGAUGGAAAUCAUUCGCAGAGUGUAAAGGCACAAGGGAGCUUGACUGCGAGACUGACAAGUCGAGCAGGGACGAAAGUCGGGCUUAGUGAUCCGGUGGUUCCGCAUGGAAGGGCCAUCGCUCAACGGAUAAAAGCUACCCCGGGGAUAACAGGCUUAUCUCCCCCAAGAGUCCACAUCGACGGGGAGGUUUGGCACCUCGAUGUCGGCUCGUCGCAUCCUGGGGCUGUAGUCGGUCCCAAGGGUUGGGCUGUUCGCCCAUUAAAGCGGCACGCGAGCUGGGUUCAGAACGUCGUGAGACAGUUCGGUCCCUAUCCGUCGCG
rnacentral:rRNA from 1 species